AGCUACAGGCUUAACACAUGCAAGUCGAGGGGCAGCAUGGUCUUAGCUUGCUAAGGCCGAUGGCGACCGGCGCACGGGUGAGUAACACGUAUCCAACCUGCCGUCUACUCUUGGACAGCCUUCUGAAAGGAAGAUUAAUACAAGAUGGCAUCAUGAGUCCACAUGUUCACAUGAUUAAAGGUAUUCCGGUAGACGAUGGGGAUGCGUUCCAUUAGAUAGUAGGCGGGGUAACGGCCCACCUAGUCUUCGAUGGAUAGGGGUUCUGAGAGGAAGGUCCCCCACAUUGGAACUGAGACACGGUCCAAACUCCUACGGGAGGCAGCAGUGAGGAAUAUUGGUCAAUGGGCGAGAGCCUGAACCAGCCAAGUAGCGUGAAGGAUGACUGCCCUAUGGGUUGUAAACUUCUUUUAUAAAGGAAUAAAGUCGGGUAUGCAUACCCGUUUGCAUGUACUUUAUGAAUAAGGAUCGGCUAACUCCGUGCCAGCAGCCGCGGUAAUACGGAGGAUCCGAGCGUUAUCCGGAUUUAUUGGGUUUAAAGGGAGCGUAGAUGGAUGUUUAAGUCAGUUGUGAAAGUUUGCGGCUCAACCGUAAAAUUGCAGUUGAUACUGGAUAUCUUGAGUGCAGUUGAGGCAGGCGGAAUUCGUGGUGUAGCGGUGAAAUGCUUAGAUAUCACGAAGAACUCCGAUUGCGAAGGCAGCCUGCUAAGCUGCAACUGACAUUGAGGCUCGAAAGUGUGGGUAUCAAACAGGAUUAGAUACCCUGGUAGUCCACACGGUAAACGAUGAAUACUCGCUGUUUGCGAUAUACUGCAAGCGGCCAAGCGAAAGCGUUAAGUAUUCCACCUGGGGAGUACGCCGGCAACGGUGAAACUCAAAGGAAUUGACGGGGGCCCGCACAAGCGGAGGAACAUGUGGUUUAAUUCGAUGAUACGCGAGGAACCUUACCCGGGCUUAAAUUGCAGAUGAAUUACGGUGAAAGCCGUAAGCCGCAAGGCAUCUGUGAAGGUGCUGCAUGGUUGUCGUCAGCUCGUGCCGUGAGGUGUCGGCUUAAGUGCCAUAACGAGCGCAACCCUUGUUGUCAGCUACUAACAGGUUCUGCUGAGGACUCUGACAAGACUGCCAUCGUAAGAUGUGAGGAAGGUGGGGAUGACGUCAAAUCAGCACGGCCCUUACGUCCGGGGCUACACACGUGUUACAAUGGGGGGUACAGAGGGCCGCUACCACGCGAGUGGAUGCCAAUCCCAAAAACCUCUCUCAGUUCGGACUGGAGUCUGCAACCCGACUCCACGAAGCUGGAUUCGCUAGUAAUCGCGCAUCAGCCACGGCGCGGUGAAUACGUUCCCGGGCCUUGUACACACCGCCCGUCAAGCCAUGGGAGCCGGGGGUACCUGAAGUGCGUAACCGCGAGGAGCGCCCUAGGGUAAAACUGGUGACUGGGGCU
rnacentral:rRNA from 1 species